rnacentral:rRNA from 1 species
AUGCACAUAAAAAACGCAGCAUUUAUCGCCUCUCAUUUCCUCCCCAUCACCUUGCAAGUGCGGAAUAAAGUGCUAAAUUUAACUGGGCAGCGGCUGCCUUCGUCUUUAAAAGGAUGCCUGCACUGCCAUCAUCGUCGACCUGUCCGCGUCCUACUCUCGGAACCGGCCUGGCGGCCUCCACUCUGGCUCUCCUCUUUAGAAAAGUUCAUUGCUUCAGUAGUCCAGCCAGUGAACACAUGGACAACAAAUCAAAUACAUAUGAUAGGAAGUAAGCAAGGAAAGAUCAGAAGAUAUUUUUCGCAGUCCAUUGUACAAACCACACACUCGAAGAUUGUGCCCUUUGGGUAA